UCCCUGGCGGUCCAGUGGGUAAGACUCUGUGCUUUCAGUGCAGGGAGUGCAGGUUCAAUUCCUGGUUGGGGAA
rnacentral:tRNA from 1 species